rnacentral:rRNA from 1 species
CAGCAGCCGCGGGAAUACGUAGGGUGCGAGCGUUAAUCGGAAUUACUGGGCGUAAAGCGUGCGCAGGCGGUUUUGUAAGACAGGCGUGGAAUCCCCGGGCUCAACCUGGGAAUGGCGCUUGUGACUGCAAAGCUAGAGUGCGGCAGAGGGGGAUGGAAUUCCGCGUGUAGCAGUGAAAUGCGUAGAUAUGCGGAGGAACACCGAUGGCGAAGGCAACCCCCUGGGCCUGCACUGACGCUCAUGCACGAAAGCGUGGGGAGCAAACAGGAUUAGAUACCCGAGUAGUCCCUGUCUCUUAUAC